GGGCUGGUAGGUCAAUGGCAGACCGCUUGCAUGGCAUGCAAGAAGUUACGGGUUCGACUCCCGUCCAGUCCA
rnacentral:tRNA from 1 species